rnacentral:rRNA from 1 species
AUGGCCUCGAGCAGGAGCUCAGUCUGGUUGGGGAAGGGGAGAUGGUGGUGUUGGAGGCAAUGCAGCAUGGGGUCGGAGCAUCAUAGUUGGACGGCGACCGCCGAAGCGGAGCUCCGAUGUCCGCGCUCGAGCGGCCAUGGCCACUGGUCGCGAGCGGACCCCCGGAGACGGGGAGAGUCGACCUUGUCGGCGUGCUGCCGGCGGCGAGCAGCGGCGGCGGCGUCGAAGCAGCACAUGACGGCGUUGGCUUCACGGCGAGCUCGGGAGAGCACGGGACGCAACUGCUCACGAGAGGAUUCAGAUCCAGAUUCAGCAACAUCACUCGUUACGGUUGGGGAUGGCAACAACGACUCAGUUGCAAAGUUUAUUCUAGGUAAUACGUUACUCCCGGUCGAUCUGAUUAAAAUUCGAUCUGACGGCCCCGGGACCGGCGGAAGCACGUGUCGUUAUCAGUCAGGUGAUUUGAAUCAUUUUCCUUGUUUAAUACAAAGGGGUUUAUAA